UGAGGAAUAUUGGUCAAUGGGCGCUAGCCUGAACCAGCCAAGUAGCGUGAAGGAUGACUGCCCUAUGGGUUGUAAACUUCUUUUAUAUGGGAAUAAAGUGCAGUAUGUAUACUGCUUUGCAUGUACCUUAUGAAUAAGGAUCGGCUAACUCCGUGCCAGCAGCCGCGGUAAUACGGAGGAUCCAAGCGUUAUCCGGAUUUAUUGGGUUUAAAGGGUGCGUAGGCGGUUUGAUAAGUUAGAGGUGAAAUACCGGGGCUUAACUCCGGAACUGCCUCUAAUACUGUUGAACUAGAGAGUAGUUGCGGUAGGCGGAAUGUAUGGUGUAGCGGUGAAAUGCUUAGAUAUAACUUAGAACUCCGAUAGCGAAGGCAGCUUACCAGACUGCGACUGACGCUGAAGC
rnacentral:rRNA from 1 species